rnacentral:rRNA from 1 species
GACGAACGCUGGCGGCGUGCUUAACACAUGCAAGUCGAACGGAAAGGCCUCUUUCGGGGGGUACUCGAGUGGCGAACGGGUGAGUAACACGUGAGUAACCUGCCCUUGACUUUGGGAUAACUUCAGGAAACUGGGGCUAAUACCGGAUAGGAGCUCCUGCUGCAUGGUGGGGGUUGGAAAGUUUCGGCGGUUGUGGAUGGACUCGCGGCUUAUCAGCUUGUUGGUGGGGUAGUGGCUUACCAAGGCUUUGACGGGUAGCCGGCCUGAGAGGGUGACCGGCCACCUUGGGACUGAGAUACGGCCCAGACUCCUACGGGAGGCAGCAGUGGGGAAUAUUGCACAAUGGGUGGAAGCCUGAUGCAGCAACGCCGUGUGCGGGAUGACGGCCUUCGGGUUGUAAACCGCUUUCGCUCAUGACGAAGCUUUGUGUGACGGUAGUGGGUAAAGAAGCACCGGCUAACUACGUG